rnacentral:tRNA from 1 species
GUUUAAAUAGUUUAAAGAAAAUAUUGGUUUGUGGGACCAAAGAUAUAAUAUAUUUAUUUUAGACC